ACGGGAGGCAGCAGUGGGGAAUAUUGCACAAUGGGGGAAACCCUGAUGCAGCGACGCCGCGUGGAGGAAGAAGGUCUUCGGAUUGUAAACUCCUGUCCCAGGGGACGAUAAUGACGGUACCCUGGGAGGAAGCACCGGCUAACUACGUGCCAGCAGCCGCGGUAAAACGUAGGGUGCAAGCGUUGUCCGGAAUUACUGGGUGUAAAGGGAGCGCAGGCGGAUUGGCAAGUUGGGAGUGAAAUCUAUGGGCUCAACCCAUAAAUUGCUUUCAAAACUGUCAGUCUUGAGUGGUGUAGAGGUAGGCGGAAUUCCCGGUGUAGCGGUGGAAUGCGUAGAUAUCGGGAGGAACACCAGUGGCGAAGGCGGCCUACUGGGCACUAACUGACGCUGAGGCUCGAAAGCAUGGGUAGCAAACAGGAUUAGAUACCCUGGUAGUCCAUGCCGUAAACGAUGAUUACUAGGUGUGGGAGGAUUGACCCCUUCCGUGCCGCAGUUAACACAAUAAGUAAUCCACCUGGGGAGUACGACCGCAAGGUUGAAACUCAAAGGAAUUGACGGA
rnacentral:rRNA from 1 species